GACGAACGCUGGCGGCGUGCCUAAUACAUGCAAGUCGAACGCAGUGGGGACGGGUGAGUAACACGUGGGUAACCUCCCAUCAGAGGGGACAACACUUGGAAACAGGUGCUAAACCGAUACUGAUGGAUGGAGCCGCGGUGCAUUAGCUAGUAGGUGGGGUAACGGUCCAACAAGGACACGAUGCAUAGACGUCCUGAGAGGGGGAUCGGCAACAAUGGGACUGAGACACAGAACAAGCACCUACGGGAAGCAGCAGUAGAGAAUCUUGGGCAAUGGACGAAAGUGUGACCGAGAGACGCCGCGUGAGUGACGACGGUUUUCGGAUCGUAAAACUCUGUUGUUAGAGAAGCGGUAUCUAACCAGAAAGCCUCGGCUAACUACGUGCCAGCAGCCGCGGUAAUAC
rnacentral:rRNA from 1 species